CAGUUGCCGCGGUAAUACUAAGGGUGCAAGCGUUACUCGGAAUUACUGGGCGUAAAGCGUGCGUAGGUGGUGGUUUAAGUCCGUUGUGAAAGCCCUGGGCUCAACCUGGGAAUUGCAGUGGAUACUGGGUCACUAGAGUGUGGUAGAGGAUAGUGGAAUUUCCGGUGUAGCAGUGAAAUGCGUAGAGAUCGGAAGGAACAUCUGUGGCGAAGGCGACUAUCUGGGCCAACACUGACACUGAGGCACGAAAGCGUGGGGAGCAAACAGGAUUAGAUACCCGAGUAGUCCCUGUCUCUUAUAA
rnacentral:rRNA from 1 species